GACGAACGCUGGCGGCGUGCUUAACACAUGCAAGUCGAACGGAGCACCCCUGAAGGAGUUUUCGGACAACGGAUGGGAAUGCUUAGUGGCGGACUGGUGAGUAACGCGUGAGGAACCUGCCUUCCAGAGGGGGACAACAGUUGGAAACGACUGCUAAUACCGCAUGACGCAUCGAAGUCGCAUGGCUUUGAUGCCAAAGAUUUAUCGCUGGAAGAUGGCCUCGCGUCUGAUUAGCUAGUUGGUGAGGUAACGGCCCACCAAGGCGACGAUCAGUAGCCGGACUGAGAGGUUGGCCGGCCACAUUGGGACUGAGAUACGGCCCAG
rnacentral:rRNA from 1 species